AGGGCACCACCAGGAGUGGAGCCUGCGGCUUAAUUUGACUCAACACGGGAAAUCUCACCAGGCCCGGACACCGGUAGGAUUGACAGAUUGAGAGCUCUUUCUUGAUUCGGUGGGUGGUGGUGCAUGGCCGUUCUUAGUUGGUGGAGCGAUUUGUCUGGUUAAUUCCGAUAACGAACGAGACUCUGGCCUACUAACUAGACGUUAGAUCCCUUCGUGGGUCUAUCGUAGCUUCUUAGAGGGACGGGCGGCGUUUAGCCGCACGAGAUUGAGCAAUAACAGGUCUGUGAUGCCCUUAGAUGUUCUGGGCUGCACGCGCGCUACACUGAAGGAAUCAGCGUGUGUUCCCUACCCGAAAGGGUUGGGAAACCCGUUGAACCUCCUUCGUGAUGGGGAUUGGGGAUUGCAAUUAUUCCCCAUGAACGAGGAAUUCCCAGUAGGCGCGAGUCAUAAGCUCGCGUCGAUUACGUCCCUGCCCUUUGUACACACCGCCCGUCGCUACUACCGAUCGAGUUAUUUAGU
rnacentral:rRNA from 1 species